CAACCCUCUAGAAAACACACGAAAAUAAAGAGAUAUAGAAAUGUGUAACAAUAAGGUUAAGCAAAAACACUUCUCAACAGACAAGGUUUUAAUUUGGGAAAGACAACAUUAGUCUUAAAGUUGUAACUCAACCCAUGAAUUAUUGACAGAGAGAAAGAAAUGGGGGGAUGCAGCCACUGGGAGAAUGUCAUCAGUUAAUAUAGCUGGAUAGAGGACCAAAUCGAUUCCAUAAAAUGAAAAACAGAGUCAAUGACAAAAUCAUACCAGACACUUGGAGAUCAAAACACAGGGUGAAAGGUAACACUAGCAAGCAAGGGCAUCAUUUGUUUGCCGAAGAAGCUAUCAUCCUGUGGCAACCACGUGAUCUCACCAUUAUAUGGAAUUGUUAAUGUUCAAAACGCCUUCCC
rnacentral:misc_RNA from 1 species